GAGGGUAUAGCUCAAGUGGUGGAGCACAUGCCUCGCAUGCCUGGGUCCUGGGUUCAAUCCCCAGUACCUCCU
rnacentral:tRNA from 1 species